rnacentral:misc_RNA from 1 species
AAGAUAUGUUUGAGGUAAUUACCAGUUCCGUGGCAGGCCCCUCAAUUGCUCCGAGGGCCGAAGUGUUUGCUUGUACAGUUGGUCGAAAACCCAGCAAGGCAAAAUAUUAUCUGGAUGAUACAGCAGAAAUUGUUAGGCUGAUGCAAGGUUUGGCUUCAGUUUCAGAACAAACAGUAACAGUGUAAGCUGAGUGAAGGAUGUACUCUCUUGUUUUCUCCUUAAGCAUGUAGGUUGAACAGUAUAAUCCACAUAGUUUUCUCUCUUUUCCUGCUUUUCUUUCAUGUGUAAAUUAUCAUAGUGUUGCGUAAGAGAAGCAGGAAAAGAGUGUGGAAGCGGAAACACUUUUUUUUUACUUCUUUGUGUUUGAUUUCUUUAUAGUGAAGUUGUAAAUACAUGUUUGCUCCAUGAACCUGAGCUUGUUGAACUGCAAUUAUCUCUGCAUUCUUGUCCUUAGCUCGCAAAAUUUAUCCAUAUGAUUCUAUACUCC